rnacentral:rRNA from 1 species
GUAGCCGGCCGGAUAAGUCUCUUGGGAAAUCUGGCAGCUUAACUGUCAGGCUUUCAGGAGAUACUGUCUGGCUCGAGGCCGGGAGAGGUGAGAGGUACUUCAGGGGUAGGGGUGAAAUCUUGUAAUCCUUGAAGGACCACCAGUGGCGAAGGCGUCUCACCAGAACGGACCUGACGGCAAGGGACGAAAGCUAGGGGCACGAACCGGAUUAGAUACCCGGGUAGUCCUAGCCGUAAACGAUACUCGCUAGGUGUCGGCCACGGUGCGACCGUUGUCGGUACCGUA